GAGAAGAACGCAGCGAAAUGCGAUAAGUAAUGUGAAUUGCAGAAUUCAGUGAAUCAUCGAAUCUUUGAACGCACCUUGCGCCCUUUGGCCAUUCCGAAGGGCAUGCCUGUUUGAGUAUCAUGAACACCUCAACUCUUCAUGGUUUUCCGUGAUGAGCUUGGACUUUGGGGGUCUUGCUGGCCUAUGGUCAGCUCCUCUAAAAUAAAUCAGCUUGCCAGUGUUUGGUGGGUAUCACAGGUGUGAUAACUAUCUACGCUUGUGGUUUUCCACCAGGUAACCUUCAGCAGUGGAGGUUCGCUGGAGCUCACAGAUGUGUCUCUCCUCAGUGAGGACAGCUCUUUGAAUGUUUGAUCUCAAAUCAGGUAGGACUACCCGCUGAACUUAAGCAUAUCAAUAAGCGGAGGA
rnacentral:misc_RNA from 1 species